UACCCCCUUUAUAUCUAAGCAGGUGGUGGUGGUGAGUAAUCAUAACUAGCAUGCAUAUGAUCUGCAAAACGCUCUACUAGCUCAUUUGCACUUCAGCACAACCCUGUACGGCAAGCCCCCAUUUUACAGAUGAGGAAAGUGAGUCCGAGAGACUCAGCCAUUUAGUAUAUGCUUGAAGGGAGAUUUGAACUUGAGUUUAUUCCUGACUCUGAAGUGCAGCCACUGCGCCACCUCCCAUACUGGAAGGGGGAAUUUUUUUUUAAAAUUAUAAUGGCAAAUAUUUUUGGACACGGCCAGCGUAGGCACAGGUUUUGCUUCAAUAUUACAGAGGUUUGUUUCUCGUUCUGGGUAGGAGAGGGAGACAAAAUAAAUGCUGGCUAAUUAAAAAUAAGUUGAAAAAUUGUGUAUGCAAGACCUUGACCCUGAAGCCGAGCGGCUGCGGUUGCGGGGUCCUGAGCGGCCAAUUCCCCCCAGAUAAAUUGCAGCGCAUUUGGGAUGGCGGCGAGGCGGCGAGGCGGCUGCGGCGCUCGCAAGGAGCACUCUGUGCUGCAAGCUGCACGCGUCCACCCAACCAGCCCUAUCAAGGAAAGAAGCCUCUUUGGCGUUGUUCGGAACCGACUUUUCACAAGUCUGUCUCCCAGGUAGCCCCAAAACUUUUCAGCCUCUCCCACAAAAACUCUCCUCCUCCUUCUCCCCCGCCCCCCCCAAAAAAAGGGAAGUAGCAAUCUCCGGAGGUAUAUAUAGCACCUGCAGUGUGGAUACUGCAGUUCCCCUUUCUACCCUAGUGUUCCAAGCUUUGCAGCAGAGCAGAUCACCUCGUGAGAAUGGGAGGAAGAAGUGAGAGGGAACUUUGGACCCUGAAAAGAAUGUUCUAAUAGAACCCAAGAAAAGAAUCUGUGUACAUUAUGGCAAUACCAGCAGAACUUGAUGACUUUGAGAGACCUGAGGUUUUUUGGACAGACAUACUAACUACUCACAAACUGUAUUCAAUAAGUCAUGAAGGGCAAAAUGAUCCCAGUUACUUCAAUUGAUCUUGACAUAACCUUGAGGCCCUUUGCCCUCCUCUGCACCAUCUUUAACUUGUCAAUGUCUGACUGAGUGGUUGGGAUUCUCCCAGUGACGAUGAAUGGACUUGAAUCCAGGUCUUCCUGACUCCAAGCACAGCUCUCUAUCCACAAUGAGAGGCAGCUUCCUUUUUAUUUGACAUUCACGUCAGGGACCUUUUAGUACUUUAGACGCUUUCACAUAAAGUCAUUAUCAACCUAUUUUUUACCCCAGGCCAUUUUUCUUAUCUCCUCUAAAUACUUAGACUCAGAAUUUUUGAGCUGGAGUAGAUUUUUUUUCCAAUCAGAUUAUGUUCAAUGAAGUCCAUCUCCAAUAAACAUUUGAAGUUGCA